AAAAAAAACUCUGUGUGAUCGUAUAGCCAUUUUUUAUUUAUAUAAAAAUACAUGUAUAUCAAAUAAAAGAGAGCAUUUGUAUAAUAUCUAGUAGAGUCUAGCGAGUAAAUAAUAAAUGAUAUCUGUGGAAAAACAAUGCGAAUGUUGUUUACAUAUUUUAAUGAAAGCUCAAGUCUGAUAUGAAAACUCUUAUAACGAUAAUCUGUCAUAAGCAGACCUGUCCUCAGGUCUGGUCAAUAGCAGACUUGUCCACAGGUCUGGUCAAAAGCAGACCUGUCCUCAGGUCUGGUCAGGAGCAGACCUGUCCACAGGUCUGGUCUGAGGCAGACCUGUCCUUAGGACUGGUCAAAAGCAGACUUGUCCACAGGUCUGGUCUGGGGCAGACCUGUCCUCAGGACUGGUCAAAAGCAGACUUGUCCACAGGUCUGGUCUGGAGCAGACUUGUCGAUAGGUCUGCAGCAGUCCUAAAAAAGCAGACCGUAGGUCUGGUCCACCAACGACGAAGUUAACUUGCUUGACUGCUUAAAAAUUCUCAAGUUAACUUAGAAAGCAGUCAACAAGUUAACUCUAAGUUAACUUUUGUCAAGGUUAGGACCGCACCCAUCUGUAUAUAUA
rnacentral:lncRNA from 1 species